AAUCCAUAGGUUAAUGAGGCGAACCGGGGGAACUGAAACAUCUAAGUACCCCGAGGAAAAGAAAUCAACCGAGAUUCCCCCAGUAGCGGCGAGCGAACGGGGAGGAGCCCAGAGCCUGAAUCAGCAUGUGUGUUAGUGGAAGCGUCUGGAAAGGCGCGCGAUACAGGGUGACAGCCCCGUACACAAAAGCGCAUGUGCUGUGAGCUCGAUGAGUAGGGCGGGACACGUGGUAUCCUGUCUGAAUAUGGGGGGACCAUCCUCCAAGGCUAAAUACUCCUGACUGACCGAUAGUGAACCAGUACCGUGAGGGAAAGGCGAAAAGAACCCCGGCGAGGGGAGUGAAAAAGAACCUGAAACCGUGUACGUACAAGCAGUGGGAGCACAGGUUUACCUGUGUGACUGCGUACCUUUUGUAUAAUGGGUCAGCGACUUAUAUUCUGUAGCAAGGUUAACCGAAUAGGGGAGCCGGAGGGAAACCGAGUCUUAAUUGGGCGUUAAGUUGCAGGGUAUAGACCCGAAACCCGGUGAUCUAGCCAUGGGCAGGUUGAAGGUUGGGUAACACUAACUGGAGGACCGAACCGACUAAUGUUGAAAAAUUAGCGGAUGACCUGUGGCUGGGGGUGAAAGGCCAAUCAAACCGGGAGAUAGCUGGUUCUCCCCGAAAGCUAUUUAGGUAGCGCCUCGUGAAUUCAUCUCCGGGGGUAGAGCACUGUUUCGGCUAGGGGGCCAUCCCGGCUUACCAACCCGAUGCAAACUGCGAAUACCGGAGAAUGUUAUCACGGGAGACACACGGCGGGUGCUAACGUCCGUCGUGAAGAGGGAAACAACCCAGACCGCCAGCUAAGGUCCCAAAGUCAUGGUUAAGUGGGAAACGAUGUGGGAAGGCCCAGACAGCCAGGAUGUUGGCUUAGAAGCAGCCAUCAUUUAAAGAAAGCGUAAUAGCUCACUGGUCGAGUCGGCCUGCGCGGAAGAUGUAACGGGGCUAAACCAUGCACCGAAGCUGCGGCAGCGAACGUAUCACUUAAAGCGAUUCAGCGGGUUACGAUUGACGGAGCGAAGCGACGUCAAAGCGUAUACAAAGUCGAGUCGGUUUAAGGAUACGUUCGUUGGGUAGGGGAGCGUUCUGUAAGCCUGUGAAGGUGUGUCGUGAGGCAUGCUGGAGGUAUCAGAAGUGCGAAUGCUGACAUAAGUAACGAUAAAGCGGGUGAAAAGCCCGCUCGCCGGAAGACCAAGGGUUCCUGUCCAACGUUAAUCGGGGCAGGGUGAGUCGACCCCUAAGGCGAGGCCGAAAGGCGUAGUCGAUGGGAAACGGGUUAAUAUUCCCGUACUUGGUGUUACUGCGAAGGGGGGACGGAGAAGGCUAUGUUGGCCGGGCGACGGUUGUCCCGGUUUAAGCGUGUAGGUGUGUGUUCCAGGUAAAUCCGGUUCACUUUAACACUGAGGCGUGAUGACGAGGCACUACGGUGCUGAAGCAACAAAUGCCCUGCUUCCAGGAAAAGCCUCUAAGCAUCAGGUAACAUCAAAUCGUACCCCAAACCGACACAGGUGGUCAGGUAGAGAAUACCAAGGCGCUUGAGAGAACUCGGGUGAAGGAACUAGGCAAAAUGGUGCCGUAACUUCGGGAGAAGGCACGCUGACAUGUAGGUGAAGUGAUUUACUCAUGGAGCUGAAGUCAGUCGAAGAUACCAGCUGGCUGCAACUGUUUAUUAAAAACACAGCACUGUGCAAACACGAAAGUGGACGUAUACGGUGUGACGCCUGCCCGGUGCCGGAAGGUUAAUUGAUGGGGUCAGCGCAAGCGAAGCUCCUGAUCGAAGCCCCGGUAAACGGCGGCCGUAACUAUAACGGUCCUAAGGUAGCGAAAUUCCUUGUCGGGUAAGUUCCGACCUGCACGAAUGGCGUAAUGAUGGCCAGGCUGUCUCCACCCGAGACUCAGUGAAAUUGAACUCGCUGUGAAGAUGCAGUGUACCCGCGGCAAGACGGAAAGACCCCGUGAACCUUUACUAUAGCUUGACACUGAACAUUGAGCCUUGAUGUGUAGGAUAGGUGGGAGGCUUUGAAGCGUGGACGCCAGUCUGCGUGGAGCCGACCUUGAAAUACCACCCUUUAAUGUUUGAUGUUCUAACGUGGAUCCGUAAUCCGGGUUGCGGACAGUGUCUGGUGGGUAGUUUGACUGGGGCGGUCUCCUCCUAAAGAGUAACGGAGGAGCACGAAGGUUGGCUAAUCCUGGUCGGACAUCAGGAGGUUAGUGCAAUGGCAUAAGCCAGCUUGACUGCGAGCGUGACGGCGCGAGCAGGUGCGAAAGCAGGUCAUAGUGAUCCGGUGGUUCUGAAUGGAAGGGCCAUCGCUCAACGGAUAAAAGGUACUCCGGGGAUAACAGGCUGAUACCGCCCAAGAGUUCAUAUCGACGGCGGUGUUUGGCACCUCGAUGUCGGCUCAUCACAUCCUGGGGCUGAAGUAGGUCCCAAGGGUAUGGCUGUUCGCCAUUUAAAGUGGUACGCGAGCUGGGUUUAGAACGUCGUGAGACAGUUCGGUCCCUAUCUGCCGUGGGCGCUGGAGAACUGAGGGGGGCUGCUCCUAGUACGAGAGGACCGGAGUGGACGCAUCACUGGUGUUCGGGUUGUCAUGCCAAUGGCACUGCCCGGUAGCUAAAUGCGGAAGAGAUAAGUGCUGAAAGCAUCUAAGCACGAAACUUGCCCCGA
rnacentral:rRNA from 1 species